rnacentral:rRNA from 1 species
CAGUCGCCGCGGGAAUACAGAGGAUGCAAGCGUUAUCCGGAAUGACUGGGCGUAAAGCGUCUGUAGGUGGCUUUUCAAGUCCGCCGUCAAAUCCCAGGGCUCAACCCUGGACAGGCGGUGGAAACUACCAAGCUGGAGUACGGUAGGGGCAGAGGGAAUUUCCAGUGGAGCGGUGAAAUGCGUUGAGAUCGAAAAGAACACCAACAGCGAAAGCACUCUGCUGGGACGACACUGACACUAAGAGACGAAAGCUAGGAGAGCAAAUGGGAUUAGAUACCCCUGUAGUCCCUGUCUCUUAUAC